rnacentral:rRNA from 1 species
CAGUAGCCGCGGGAAUACGAAGGGGGCUAGCGUUGUUCGGAUUUACUGGGCGUAAAGCGCACGUAGGCGGACAUUUAAGUCAGGGGUGAAAUCCCAGAGCUCAACUCUGGAACUGCCUUUGAUACUGGGUGUCUGGAGUAUGGAAGAGGUAAGUGGAAUUCCGAGUGUAGAGGUGAAAUUCGUAGAUAUUCGGAGGAACACCAGUGGCGAAGGCGGCUUACUGGUCCAUUACUGACGCUGAGGUGCGAAAGCGUGGGGAGCAAACAGGAUUAGAUACCCCCGUAGUCCCUGUCUCUUAUAC